rnacentral:rRNA from 1 species
UACGUAGGGUGCAAGCGUUGUCCGGAAUUAUUGGGCGUAAAGAGCUCGUAGGCGGUCUGUCGCGUCGGCUGUGGAAAACCCGGAGCUCAACUCCGGGCCUGCAGUCGAUACGGGCAGACUGGAGUUCGGCAGGGGAGACUGGAAUUCCUGGUGUAGCGGUGAAAUGCGCAGAUAUCAGGAGGAACACCGGUGGCGAAGGCGGGUCUCUGGGCCGAUACUGACGCUGAGGAGCGAAAGCGUGGGGAGUGAACAGG